CAUCCAGACUCCUACGGGAGGCAGCAGUGGGGAAUAUUGCACAAUGGGGGAAACCCUGAUGCAGCGACGCCGCGUGAGUGAAGAAGUAUUUCGGUAUGUAAAGCUCUAUCAGCAGGGAAGAAGCAAGACGGUACCUGACUAAGAAGCCCCGGCUAACUACGUGCCAGCAGCCGCGGUAAUACGUAGGGGGCAAGCGUUAUCCGGAUUUACUGGGUGUAAAGGGAGCGCAGGCGGGAAGCCAAGUCAGCUGUGAAAACUAUGGGCUUAACUUGUAGACUGCAGUUGAAACUGGUUUUCUUGAGUGAAGUAGAGGUUGGCGGAAUUCCGAGUGUAGCGGUGAAAUGCGUAGAUAUUCGGAGGAACACCGGUGGCGAAGGCGGCCAACUGGGCUUUAACUGACGCUGAGGCUCGAAAGUGUGGGGAGCAAACAGGAUUAGAUACCCGGGUAUU
rnacentral:rRNA from 1 species